rnacentral:rRNA from 1 species
ACGACGCUGGCGGCACGCUUAACACAUGCAAGUCGAACGGAGUUAUCGAGAGCUUGCUUUGAUAACUUAGUGGCGGACGGGUGAGUAACACGUGAGCAAUCUGCCCUUAAGAGGGGGAUAGCAGUUGGAAACGACUGAUAAUACCGCAUAAGAUAGUAGUACCGCAUGGUACAGCUAUAAAAGAUUUAUCGCUUAAGGAUGAGCUCGCGUCUGAUUAGCUAGUUGGUGAGGUAACGGCUCACCAAGGCAACGAUCAGUAGCCGGACUGAGAGGUUGGACGGCCACAUUGGGACUGAGACACGGCCCAGACUCCUACGGGAGGCAGCAGUGGGGAAUAUUGCACAAUGGAGGGAACUCUGAUGCAGCGAUGCCGCGUGAGGGAAGAAGGUUUUAGGAUUGUAAACCUCUGUUGACAGGGACGAUAAUGACGGUACCUGUUGAGGAAGCUCCGGCUAACUACGUGCCAGCCGCCGC